CAAGAUGAGAUUUCCCAACUUCGGUUAUAAGAUCCCUCAAAGAUGAUGAGGUUAAUAGGUUCGAGGUGGAAGCAUGGUGACAUGUGGAGCUGACGAAUACUAAUCGAUCGAAGACUUAAUCAAAA
rnacentral:rRNA from 1 species